GAAUUGCGAUAAGUAAUGUGAAUUGCAGAAUUCAGUGAAUCAUCGAAUCUUUGAACGCACCUUGCACUCUUUGGUAUUCCGAAGAGUAUGUCUGUUUGAGUGUCAUGAAACUCUCAACCCCCUUAUUUUGUAAUGAGAUAAGUGUGGGCUUGGAUUAUGGUUAUUGUCGGCGCAAGUCGGCUCAGCUGAAAUACACGAGCUACCCAUUUGAAAUAAACGGUUUGACUCGGCGUGAUAAUUAUUUCGCUGAGGACGCUUUCUUCAAAAGUAAGAGGUGCUUCUAAUGCGCUUUUUAGCAACUUAAGCUUUAGACCUCAAAUCAGUCAGGACUACCCGCUGAACUUAAGC
rnacentral:misc_RNA from 1 species